UAGUGAAAAAAAAAAUUAACUUUUCAAUUUGUGUCUGUAAAAAACGACUACUAAUUAGACGUCAAAAGAGUAUGGGUUGGUACUUGGUAUUGUAGCGUGGUUGUGGUGUUAGAGCCACUCAUUCACAAAUGACAACCAUGCAAGCAGGGGCGGACCCACAUUAGGUUGACGGGGUUCAGAUGCACCCCCUGAAAAAAGAGAAAACUCCACAUACCCCCCUGUAUUAUUAUUUUUUUGAACCCCUUGAAAAUUUCAAUUUGCACCAAAGACCCUUUCUCUCUCACUAACACACACACUUCUUACUCGGGCCCUCAUCCUCUUGCUCUCGCUAGGUCAAGCGCGCACACACACCAGCCACCACCACGGCACCACGUCGCUCAGCCACCAGUGCACCACCGACCACCACCACAGCACCACCAGUGGGUUACCAGUCCAGUGAGUCCACCACGCACCCUUGAUUUUUGCGCUACAGUAGCAUUUCAGCCCAGCCGUGAAUUGGGGUUUGUUUCUUUUCCUCUGGUAGCAAGGAUCCUGGCUCGUUAAUACUCUCCUGUUGUAGCUACAAGUGUCUGCUUUUGCUCCUUGCCCGCAACUGCUAUGUUUCUUUUCUUAUUCUUUUUUUUGAGUUUGUAGUAGUUGUAGUUGUCUGUAGUAGCUUUUUUCUCUUUUCUCUAUUGUUCUGUGUUUGCUUUUCUAUGCAAGGGGCCUCUUGAAAUUUAGUGGCCUUUUGCUUUGAUUGUAUCUUUCUCUUUUGUUGAAAUAAACUCAGCUUUCUAAAAAAAACUAGUGAAUUAGAAGUUUCA